rnacentral:rRNA from 1 species
AUACGGAGGGUGCAAGCGUUACUCGGAAUCACUGGGCGUAAAGCGCGCGCAGGCGGCUUGAUAAGUUGGAUGUGAAAGCCUACGGCUCAACCGUAGAACUGCAUCCAAAACUGUCAGUCUAGAGUGUGGGAGAGGAAGAUGGAAUUAGUUGUGUAGGGGUAAAAUCCGUAGAGAUAACUAGGAAUACCAAAAGCGAAGGCAAUCUUCUGGAACACUACUGACGCUGAGGCGCGAAGGCGUGGGGAGCAAACAGGAUUAGAAACCCGAGUAGUCC